GACGAACCGUGCGAACGUUAUUCGGAAUCACUGGCUUAAAGCGCGUGUAGGCGGAUGGGAACGUCGGUAGUUGAAAGCCCCCGGCUCAACCGGGGAAGUGGUGCCGAAACGACCCGUCUGGAGGGACGUAGGGGGACCUGGAACUUCCGGUGGAGCGGUGAAAUGCGUUGAGAUCGGAAGGAACGCCCGUGGCGAAAGCGAGGUCCUGGACGUCUACUGACGCUGAGACGCGAAAAGCU
rnacentral:rRNA from 1 species